UUACGGCCAUAUCACGUUGAAACACCGGUUCUCGUAUAAUCACCAAAGUUAAGUAAAUGUCGAGCUUGGUCAGUACCCCAAUGGGUGGCUGCUUGGAAAUACUAGGUGCUGUAA